UUUCUUGUGAAUUUUUUUGACGUCAUUUAUGUGAGACACAUAUUGCAGCUUGCAGGGACAUUAUGCAGUUUUGCAGGCCCUUGCUCUUUAAGAAGAUUACUUGCCGGAAAUAUAAGAUGUAACAGUGCCUGAUGAGGAAGGCCUAGCUAGGUCAGGAGUUGUUAAUGCGAUAGAAGAGUUCAAGCUGUCUGUUUAUGGGGAUAAGUAUGAGGAAAGCGAUAAUCCCGGCCAUAAAAAAGGGGAGCGAGCCAUCCAAGAAACGAAAAGCCAUUGCGGAUAGUUCCGUUGGGAAAUCUGCACAAAAUUGGGCUGAGCUCGCUGACAGUGGCAAGUUGAAGGAUUUGACGGUAGUGGAGUUAAAGUUCUACCUGACUGCACCCGAUCUGCCCGUCUCUGGGAAGAAAGAGGAUUUGAUCAAGAGGAUAUUGACUAACAUGGGGAAGUGAACUUGUAAUGUAACUAUUGCAAGGUUUUUGUAUUGCUUUUGAUCCCUUGAUAGCUGCAAUAGAAUCCCAAGAAUGCUGAA